GAUAGUAAUACACAGCGGUCUGAGGAGCCAUAAACAAACCUCAACCAAAACGCCACAAAUAAUGCUCAGAACAGCACCUAACUUCAUCAACAGGACAUAUAGGGUCACAGACAUAGUACUAGACACCAAACAUCUUUUUAACUUUGACUCAUUUCUUUAGCAAAGAGACUAAACACAACUCACCUACUCUCUUCCAGCAGCCGUUUGUUUGUAGCGAGACCUCAGGCCAGUCCAUUACAGACUACAGCGGGGUGCCGCAGCUCAAGGAAGAACAUUUAUGAUCAUUUCUUCAUGGAAAUACAAUCAGACCGAGACGCUAAGACAGAAGAACUACCGCGUCUGUAAAAUGAUUAAUAUGGUGAUUAUUACUUCAAGGAAAUGAUGAAGAAAUGAUCAUAAAUGUUCUUCCUUGAGCUGCGGCACCCCGCUGUAGUCUGUAAUGGACUGGCCUGAGGUCUCACUACAAACAAGCGGCUGCUGGAAGAGAGUAGGUGAGUUG